rnacentral:rRNA from 1 species
CUGGCGGCAGGCCUAACACAUGCAAGUCGAGCGGGAACUUCGGUUCUAGCGGCGGACGGGUGAGUAAUGUAUAGGGAGCUGCCCGACAGAGGGGGAUACCAGUUGGAAACGACUGUUAAUACCGCAUAACGUCUACGGACCAAAGUAUGGGACCUUCGGGCCAUAUGUUGUCGGAUGCACCUAUAUGGGAUUAGCUAGUUGGUGGGGUAAUGGCUCACCAAGGCGACGAUCCCUAGCUGGUUUGAGAGGAUGAUCAGCCACACUGGAACUGAGACACGGUCCAGACUCCUACGGGAGGCAGCAGUGGGGAAUAUUGGACAAUGGGCGCAAGCCUGAUCCAGCCAUGCCGCGUGUGUGAAGAAGGCCUUCGGGUUGUAAAGCACUUUCAGCGAGGAGGAAGGGUGUGGUAGUUAAUAGC